rnacentral:lncRNA from 1 species
UACUAUUAAGAUUUAGAUGCCUGGCAACAUGGUGAGAGUGCUGAAAAUUGUGCAUCACGUUUUGAGUUUUGCAUCAUAACAUGAUUUAUGUUGUACAUUAGAGGUAAAUUGUUGCUCUUAAAAAGGCAAUAAUAAGAUACUCAAGGUUAACAAAGGCUCACUUGUGAUAAUGAAGGAAAGAUGUAUUGGAGUUAACAUUUAUAGAUUCAAGGGGAGCAAUGUUGUAGGUGCCAUAGUAACACCAUCUGAAC